GACGAACCGUGCGAACGUUGUUCGGAAUCACUGGGCUUAAAGGGCGCGUAGGCGGUCUGCCAAGUCCGGGGUGAAAGCCCCCAGCUCAACUGGGGAAGUGCCUUGGAUACUGGUGGACUCGAGCGAGGCAGGGGUCGUGGGAACUUCCGGUGGAGCGGUGAAAUGCGUUGAUAUCGGAAGGAACGCCGGUGGCGAAAGCGCACGACUGGUCCUCUUCUGACGCUGAGGCGUGAAAGCCAGGGGAGCAAACGGG
rnacentral:rRNA from 1 species